GGGGGGAGCAAACGUUGUUCGGAAUCACUGGGCGUAAAGGGCGCGUAGGCGGCCUCGUAAGUGGUGUGUGAAAUGUCCUGGCUCAACCAGGGAAUUGCGCUCCAAACUGCGGGGCUUGAGGGCAGUAGAGGAAGCUGGAAUUCCAGGUGUAGCGGUGAAAUGCGUAGAUAUCUGGAGGAACACCGUUGGCGAAGGCGAGCUUCUGGGCUGUCCCUGACGCUGAAGCGCGAAAGCUGGGGGAGCAAACAGGAUUAGAUACCCUGGUAGUCCCAGCUGUAAACGGUGAACACUAGGUGUGGGAGGUGUCGACCCUUCCCGUGCCGCAGCUAACGCAUUAAGUGUUCCGCCUGGGGAGUACGGUCGCAAGGCUGAA
rnacentral:rRNA from 1 species